UGCAUGGGUAUGGUGUGGAAAGUUUUUCGGUCUGGGAUGGACUCGCGGCCUAUCAGCUUGUUGGUGAGGUAAUGGCUCACCAAGGCGACGACGGGUAGCCGGCCUGAGAGGGCGACCGGCCACACUGGGACUGAGACACGGCCCAGACUCCUACGGGAGGCAGCAGUGGGGAAUAUUGCACAAUGGGCGAAAGCCUGAUGCAGCGACGCCGCGUGAGGGAUGACGGCCUUCGGGUUGUAAACCUCUUUCAGCAGGGAAGAAGCGCAAGUGACGGUACCUGCAGAAGAAGCACCGGCUAACUACGUGCCAGCAGCCGCGGUAAUACGUAGGGUGCGAGCGUUGUCCGGAAUUAUUGGGCGUAAAGAGCUUGUAGGCGGUUUGUCGCGUCUGCCGUGAAAAUUCGAGGCUCAACCUCGAACUUGCGGUGGGUACGGGCAGACUAGAGUGUGGUAGGGGAGACUGGAAUUCCUGGUGUAGCGGUGAAAUGCGCAGAUAUCAGGAGGAACACC
rnacentral:rRNA from 1 species